UACGAAGGGGGCUAGCGUUGCUCGGAAUUACUGGGCGUAAAGGGCGCGUAGGCGGCGCAUUUAGUCAGGCGUGAAAUUCCUGGGCUCAACCUGGGGACUGCGCUUGAUACGGGUGUGCUAGAGGGCAGGAGAGGCUCGCGGAAUUCCCAGUGUAGAGGUGAAAUUCGUAGAUAUUGGGAAGAACACCGGUGGCGAAGGCGGCGAGCUGGCCUGUUACUGACGCUGAGGCGCGACAGCGGUGGG
rnacentral:rRNA from 1 species